rnacentral:rRNA from 1 species
GUCCACGCCUAACGAUGCUAACUCGAUGUUCGGCCGUAAGGCGGAGCAUCCAAGCAAAUGCGAUAAGUUAGCCACCUGGGAGUACGCCCGCAAGGGUGAACUCAAAGGAAUUGACGGGGUCCGCACAAGCGGUGGAGCAUGUGGUUUAAUUCGAUGGUACGCGAGGAACCUUACCUGGGCUAGAAUGUGAGUGAAUUCUGGUGAAAGCUGGAAGGCCCGCAAGGGACACAAAACAAGGUGCUGCAUGGCUGUCGU